rnacentral:tRNA from 1 species
GCAUAAUACGCGUGGUGAAACGGUAUCAGGCUUGCCUUCCAAGCAAGCGGUUCGGGUUUGACUCCCGGUGCGUGCA